UCUUCAUCUCACUGGCUGCGAACAAUAAGGGGUGGAUUUAAGCGAGGCCUAUGUUAUUGUGUCGUGCAUGCCACCGAGAAGAUUAUACUUAUUCAGGUGAUCCCAAGCCAAGCACCGAUCCAAGGAUUGUGUUUGGAAU
rnacentral:rRNA from 1 species